CAAUUUUAAUCCGAGUGAGAGUCUGAGAGGUGGCGGGGGCGCCCCAUGCGGGUUCAGAGGUGCGGUAAGGGGUAAGAGGACCAGCGGUCGAGGGGGAAAGGUGGAGCAUCCAUCGAGGAGGGGAAGCAGGGGUGUCGGCCGCGCUCCAGGCGUGCGGGGAAGAGCAACUAGGCCAGGGGCUUCAGGGGCUCCUCCGUGAGCUCGAGCCGUACGAGCGCUCGCUGGGUCACGUUCCCCGGUAGACUCCGCCUUCGCCACCGGGCCCUAAGCAGAGUAGGCGUAGCCGCCGGCGCCGGUAGGUCGCGACCGCAACGGGCUCGUGCCUCGUCCGGGGUUGAGGAGUGGUCGACCUCGCCAAGCCCACGAGGCGAAAGUGGCCGCUCGACGGGGACGGACGGGGGUCUACGCGCAGCCGGGCGCCUCCCCCUCCCCAGCUUCUUCGUUCGCGAUCAUCCCCUCCUCUGCCUCUCCUCCGCCUUACUCCAAGAUCUACCAAGACCGCCACGCUUAGUGGCGUCCGCAGCGCGGGUAACAGCGGAAACGGGCGACGCUCUUGAGGGCGAGGCGCGCGGUUACCGUCGGCCCUGGUUCCCUAUAAACUUUAACCGUUCCUUUUCUUUUGAAGUCUACACUUGUGGAGACAAUUCAUAAUAAAAAUAAAGUGAUAAUGAUUACACAGCGGACUAUCGAGCUAGAGAAGGUAUGUAUGUAUGUACCAAUAAAGUCAGUACACUACAUAAACAGAGCAUUUCAGUCACGGGCAGUUAUGAAAGAAAGCGAUCAGUUCAAAAGUAGACUAUCUAGACUAUCUAUCUACCUUUGUAUUCAAAAGUAAGUAUUUAUCAUUCAUUAAACAGAGACUUAAAACUGUCACGUCUGAUGAAGAAAAGUAUGCAUACGUCGAAAUGGAGCGGAGUAUUAAACUCAAAUAAACAAACUGACUACGAUAAACAUUUUAAGAUUAACGCGAAUGCCUAUUACGGGGGACUAAAACGAAAGACGGAUCUGAUUGAGACAGAUGUUGGAGAACGUACAUAAAAAGGGGGUACAAAUAGAUUUUACCAAAAACCGGGAAAUAAAAAUUUAUUGGUUUGUUGAAAGAAUAUGAAUAUUUAUCAUGACCUCGAGUACCGGAACGAAUUCUUUUUGGUAGAUAUUAACGAUUCAAAUAUUAUUAUCCACUCGAUGACACAGAGCCCGUAUGUUACGUUUGAACGUCUGGUAUUCGAUCUAUGCGUUACUAAAAAAAGAAUGAUAAUGGUACAAAAAAGUUAAAUAGUUCGAGGUCGGGUUUAUAGACUAUCAUAAACCGGAUGUCAAUCACAUGAUUAAUUAACCUAUAAACUCAUCAUAACAGUUGUCAUUAUUGAAAAUGUACAAACGUAAUGAAGGUUCUCAUUGUCGUCCGCAAAUCCUGUGGAAAUCCUCUAGAUGAUUAGAGAUUAGUACGAUGAGUUCCUAUCCUUGGCAUCCGAAGAGAUAUGUAAAAAAGUGACAGGAAAUAACCACCAAGAUACUACAUCAGGUUUACUUUGGUUAACGUACAUAACUCUUUAUCUCAUAUCGAUCUAUUUCCAUUUUGUCUUGAACUGCACCAAAAGGUGACUGGACUUGUUAUUUUAUCUGGUGUAUAGACCCUUCGUCUAAUUAUACCCUGUCGAAUAAUUCCCCGGGCUCGAACAUAUCAUCAUAUGCCCCGACAUAAUCACUAUCAUCUUUACUAAAGGAGAUUAAAUCGUAAACAUGGUUCCGGCGGUCAUAAAAGUGACGUAAAGUCUUUAUGUUUGAUGUUUAAAACGUUACCACGGUUUUUAUUAAUAAAGUACUCGACGAAGGAUAAAAUGGGUUAUACUUUUGUAUUCGAUGUACAACGUUGUACUACCUCUUCUCCGUUGUGUCCUUGGACAAAUGGUAAAAAAAACGGUUCCAGAACAGACAUUUACCUCUGUAGAUAUAAACAAAGACUUACUAUACGAAAUUAGUGUACGGAAGAAGAGAAGGAAUCCUUUUAGUCUCCAGAUGGUUAAAUACAUAUAUCACCCACCAAAAAAACCAUUGAAUUGAACUCGUUGGAUUAAAACUUUGUAUUAAACUCUCUGUAUUUAUGUUUGUGACAAUUUUAGUUCCCGAAUGGACACUCAAGUCUUGGUCGUUAGUCAACUAACAAUUGUCAGUUAUACAUACUAAUAAAAAGAUUUACAAAAAGAAAAGGAAAGCACACUUCCAUACGCUACUAGCCGUAAGACUCGAUUAGGGAACAAACCUAUCCUUAAACUAAUAGUCUAUUCGAACUUCUACCUAAAUUUUGACUACCUCGUAGUACUCGUAGUAACGGGAUGAAUCCUCUCUGCGAAAUUAACGAACUAAGGUGGCGGUGUACCGAUAUUCGAGCGCACGCCCAUAAGUGCACGAGGGAACGUAAUAGUGAGUUUUGUUGAGUACAACAGACCACGAGCCUACAACUUCAUCUGUGACCUGUAAGGGAGCGUGAGCGUAGUUCGGGAUGGACUAAGGGGAGUAUGCAUACUAGUCUAAGACAUCCUCAACCUUCUGUUUUCAUGACUAGGUUGGUACCUUCCCCACCUUCCGAUAGGUGUAGUGAUAAGUUGUACGUUGGUUGGUGGAGUGAGCUCAGUAAUCGCGAAGGGAACGUCAACCUCCGAUGUUGCGAUAUGACGUAGCCACAUCGGAGUAGGUUCGAGGACAUGUACCGCUCUAUUGAGGCGUUGUACCUCGCGGGACAGCCUACUUAGGGAGUACCGUGGGUAGUGGCCGUGCGGUGGAAACGAUACCGGACGCACAGUCUACGCAGAAAGGUUGCGACUUCGAAACGGAGGUUAGAGAGCAUAUGGGGUGACAGGUCGCACAUACCGAAAUAAGUAAACGGACAGAAGUUGGUACAGGACGUUCCGUCUGAGUACCUAUACCUAAAAGCCAUAAGGACCUACGUACGUACAAGUGCCCCACUACGUCGAUGGUCGUUAGGUGCAGCAGGGAGAUAGCUGUGCGGGUGAUGAUCUGUGCCGGCGUAGACAAAACACAACAGUGUAGUAGUGAUCUUGAACUACUAACGUGUUUAACAAACACCCUUGUUACUUCGUACGUGGAAAUCAUAAUGCCAAAAAAAUGCUACUUCGAUCCACAACAGCAGGAAGAAAGUUCUAGACCAUCUUACCAUCAUUGUAUAUAUAGCAAUACACAGAAGAGAAGAUACAAAAUUUACAAACAUUAAACAUGCUACGUAAGUUAGCGAAAACCGGGUUACACUCAAGUAAGUGAGAACGUAGAUACGAACCAUCUAAUGCACGUAUAAGUUAACUAGAAAACUUUCUUUAAAGUUAAGUAUAAAGUCAAAAACGUCUUCCCCAGGUAUCCUUUUAUUUGAUAGCGUUAGAAUAUUUUCCAGACAGAAAAAGUGUUCAAGGUAUAUAGAAAAGGUUGGAGUAUAUGAUAGUCAAUUCAUAAAAUCUAAUAGAAAACCUCCUCCACGCAGAAAAGGAAAGUCCUUUACUACAACCAAGUUCUGUAAGGACGGAGGACAAACAAUACAAAUAGACAAGGUACUAUGGUUUAGUCCUUAGUUGUUUACAAACCUAUUAGGUCUACAACCUUCGUUCUUAUUUCUUAAAUUUAAGUGUUCUACGUACACGUUGCGCGCCUCACAAUAGAUCAACCAAUGAUAUC
rnacentral:rRNA from 1 species